UAAAGACCACCUAUAGCGACAGAACCGUCGCUAUAGUUGUUCUUCGUGUUCUUGAGCCUGCCCAGAAAUUCAUAGACAGUCACCGAGAUGGCAUGUUUAACUAAUGAUAACUUUUAGAUCGUAAUGAUUCUGGGCUUGAAAUUUUGUUAAGAUUGUAGUAUUAAUGUAACACUACAAUCACCAACUGGUUUCAUGUCCAUUACAUAUCAUAUCAGAAAGAUCUUGAUUUUUAAAAUGGUUGUCAGAAUUGUUCUUCAUUUUCUGGGUUUUCCAGAAAUGAAGAACAGUCGAGGCACCUACAUUCCAAGCCUUGAAUCAAACGUUCUGGUCUUGCUAUGUUUGUUAUAAUGAUUAACACUUGUAGUAUUGAUGUCAGAGUACAAUUAUAAAGCACGUUUACAGCCUUUUAACAACACAUAAGAGAGAUCUAAGCCGGUCAAAGUAGUGGUCAGGAACUGCCUUUGAAGAUUUCUGGGUUACCUAGAAUCUUCAUCCGGCAGUUUCGUCUGGCUUACUUUGACCACACAUUUCUUGGAUUAUGUGCAGGAAUUAAGGAUUAUAAAGACACGAUUCGACAAUACCCAUGUCCGUCUACACAACCAUAACAAUAACGUAGCAUAACUAACUAACAAAAUCAAGAUCCGAGCCCUGCAAAAACAUUGUCAGACUUCUGGAAAAAUUCCGGGUUACCCAGAUUUGAAAAGUCAUGGUUGGUCAACGACCUUUGACCACCAAUAUCUAUCAAUAUAUGCAUGAUCUGAUCCUGAUAUGAGUUCCAGAACACAGAUCUCGUGACAUACUACAGAUCUAAAACUUAAAACAAGAAGAAACACAACCAGUGAAAGAUUUGUGGCCGCUGACAUUCGUUGUCAGAAUACAAAAAUGAAAAUUUUCCAGAUUUGCAAAAACACUAGCUCUGAGCUUAUAGAUGUUAUGGAUCCAACAUCUAUCAACCCAGAUCACUUAAUAACACUAUAUACAACAUAUCUUAACACUCAAACAUAACUUUUAACAGAGGAUCAAAGUCCGAAAUUUUGAUUAGGGUUUAUACCUUUAAGCUUUGAUUUCUGGAAUUUGGGCUUCUGAUUUGUUAGAGGAAUUCAUGGGGCUUGCUUUAGGGACUGAUCUAUCACUAUAUUUCGUGAUCUAGAGAGAGAGAUGGACUUGGUAGUGAGUUGGUGCACAAAUGG
rnacentral:lncRNA from 1 species